UCUGGGGGCUCAGGUGACCUGCAGUGAAUGAAAGCAACGCCAGCGCCAAGUAACUUCUCUGAGAACUGGGAACCCACGGGCUUGGACAAACACUGUGGAAUAUUAUAUCUGGGGCCAACGGUGCUCUGACAGGAAAGAGAGAUUCUCCAGCAAGGGUUUCAGGACUAUACUCGACAGCUAGAAUGGGAUGCUUGGAGAUGCUCCUCCUCCUGUAAGCUCCGGGACACAACCCUUACACCUUGGAUCACUGCAGCCACUUCUAAACCCAACUCCUGGGAGGGUUUACUCCCAACCUCAUAGUUAAUGUUCUCACUUGAAGGGAAAAAACAUUGCGAUCAAUAAUAACGCAGGAAUUUAAUCACGAAUAUGCACUAAAGGACAGUACAAAUUAGAGAAAACGUCCAGGAGACGCUCUCCUUGCUCCUUAAGCUCCGGUUUUUACCAAAGAAGACUACUUGUAACAUGAAAAGUAAGUGCAGAACUCUGGAGAUCUUGAGAAGAUGAGGAGACUAUGAGAGGGAGAGAGAGGAAGAGAGGCCGGGACCAGUAAUGCUAGCAAUGACCCCUAUGGCCUGAAAUGCCAUCUGCGACCUGUAAUACCAGUUAUGACCUAUAAUGCCAGCCCUCCAGAGGCCGAAGCAGGGGGACUCUGAAGCAAAACUCGGCUUCAGGACAGACUGGGAACUGAGAAGGGAAGGGAAGGCUUUAGUGAACUCUCGGUUCCAGAGGUGUGUGGGUUGCAGGAGGAAGUUUCCAUCUUCAUUUAGCCAUGGCGAUUUUCGUGCGCUGAGUCCGCUGAGUCCGGUACUAAAAGUUUUUACAGUGGUCGCUUCAUCUCUGCCUAGGAGUUACUGCCACUGUUUCACCUGACCGCCCGAUAGGUCUCUGUAAAAUGGGCUAGCAAGCAGCUGCUGUAUUCUUCAAUCUCUGCAAUCCUCCUGAGCAUACUUGAGACCACCCUAGAAGUCUGGGCACUGGCAAAGGGUCAGGAUCAUGACCAGAGAUUGUCAUCUCAGCCAUGUGGACUGCAGUGAAAAGCCAGAGAGACGUACCUGGCUCGCCUUCUGCCUUUGCAAAAGCAGUUAGUCAGACCACCAACAGAUUAGUUGGAGACUCCACAGCUACAGAACCUUAUAUGCUCUUUGAACAAAGAACUCUAACCAUUACAAUAUUUUAGCUUUGGGGAAUGAAAUAUGGA
rnacentral:lncRNA from 1 species